rnacentral:rRNA from 1 species
CAGUCGUACCGACGAGAAUUCAACCCUUCGAGUGCUAACUUGUAGACGUGCGUGAGCAUUAAAACCUCGCUGUUUGCAACGUUUGUAUUUUUUGGGUGUACUUUUUCGUAUGGUAGGCCAAUGUCAGUUUUGAUCACCAUAAAAUGAUUGGAAGAAUGUAGCUUCGAUCUCGUAUUGAAGUGUUAUAGCCUUCGGUAGAUGUGGUUUUUCGAGAUUGAGGAUUGCAA